GCCUGACCUACCCUAGCCCCAUUCCGAUGCCUGACCUUCGACCUUAUACCCCUGAUCAAUUCCAAAACUCCGGUCCUUACUUCCCUGACUCCUACCCUGAUGCCAAAUCUUACGUCCCUGACCCUGAUAACCGACCUUACUUCCCUGACUCGUUCCCUGAUACCAGACCUUAUUCUCCUAACCCUGACAGCCGACCUUACCCUCAAAAUGACCUUGACUCUCGACCUUACCCUCAGAAUGACUUAAACGCCCUACCUUACCCUGAGAAUGACCUUCGCCCCCGACCUUACCCUGAGAAUGACUUACAAAUCCGAGCAUAUCCUCAGAAUGACCUUGAUCCUCUGCCCUAUGAGGACACCAUCCCCCCUCACUCCCCCCAGAACGACGUGGCCAACCUACACCCAAAACACAGGUUCUUCUCGCCCUCCAACACCGCCAAGGAACUCCAACAUCCCAAGUUACUCCUUCACUCCCGAGGUCCUCCUUCACUCGAACCACCUUCCCGCCUCGUUCCCACUCGAUCUCGGGCCUCGGGACGGUCGCCAGUUCGAGGACGAGGUGUUUCCUAUGCACAGUGAAGGAAGGGGAGGUGGUUAUAACAAGCUUCGUCCUAAUCGGGUCUUCAGUCGAAAUGUCCACACCAGGCCUGUUCAUAAGCGUGUUGACUGGUACUUCCUCGGUCCCCGACGCACGGUUCCUCGACCAACACCCUUCUUGCAUUUUGUGUAUGACCUUCAACAAUCUCCUUCCGAGUUUGGAUAUCCAAAAACACGCUUUGGAGACGCUGAUGAGAUGUGGUACCAACCUGAUGGAUUUCACCACAACACACUCCGAAAGCAGAUGUUGGGUUGGUGAGAUGCAGUAAGUGGAAGCAGGCAAGCAGUGUGAUUAUGAUGUGUAGUCAUGUGGUCUGUAUUAGUGAAGAUAAUAAAGAUCUGUGUUAAA
rnacentral:misc_RNA from 1 species